GAACAGGUAGUUCAGUGGUAGAACUUCUGCCCGGUAAGCGGAAGCCCCGGGUUCGAUUCCCGGUCUGUGCA
rnacentral:tRNA from 1 species